GAGCAAACAAGCAAUGGGUGUAAAUCACUGCUACUGCAUGGAUUUACCAGCUUAGACCAUGGAUUCGGUCUCCUAGCUUGUUUUAGAUUGACCAGAAGGGCAGUGGAAAUCUAGAAAGAGAUUAGGGCAAAUGUCACUCAGGGAUAGCUAAACUCUGAUUAAGCCAGUCACAGGGAAGGAGUCAUUUUCUGGUUCCUGUGAUUCUUCUGUUGCUAAGCCAGGGCUUAUCACUGCAGCUGCACUGCUUAACACCUGCUGAAGGUUUGGCCCAAAAUGUCCCUCAGCUGAGGAUCUAGCUGAUAAGACUGAUCUGGAAACACCAUGAAUAAGACACAAAUAUUAACUUCCUCCUAUCUUUCACCUGUCUGCUUGGAGUGUUGGUGCUUUCUGCAUUUUCCCACCCUCAGGUUCAUAAGUCUUAUUUCAGCUCCUGCUUCUACCUGGGGUUAUCUGUUCCUUCUUAGACAACAAGUCUAUUCCAAGCCUAUUCCACACUUGCCUCAAAGUUAGUAGGUUAGUAAAAACCUCCAUCUUUCACUCUAAAUGGUGACAGAAUCAGCAAAUAUUUCCAAGCACCUCUGAUGGAAAGAGUGCUUCUUUUAGAGUCAGUUCAGCAUUACAAAGGAUUUUUGUAUGGAAGCAUGUGGCCCAGGUUGUGUGGUAGCCCCAUUUCCUUAUAUGAACCAGAAGACUUUUGUAUUAUGGGAAAGAAAUGCAAAUGCCUAGGAGACGGUGCAUCACAGUAUGCAAAUGUACUUGAAAGAGAAUAUUUUGAGCCAGGCCAACGACAUAACGUUGUCAUUCACACUGAAUUAUCUGAUCUAAAAUACAUGGGUCUGAUUUUCCUACUGGAAGAAUUAAAAACAAAUCUCUUGGGAAACAAAAACUGCUGAUGUUGGCAGAAAGUCUGUUUCCCUCAGAAAUAAAUUAGAGCAGAAAUUUCCUGACUAGAUCUAUUUUAACAUAUGUAGUCCGCCUGUCUAUCUAUCCAUCUAUCUAUCUUUCUUUAUCUUUGCAGUUAAUUAAGGUUUAAUCAUUCUGCACUUAACGACAGUUUGUACUUAGACUUUGGAUCAAGUCUGGAGUCAUCUGCAUGUGUCAAACUAUAAAGUAUUUAUCAUACCCCUCUGUAUAGGCUAAUCCGCAGACGUAGCACAGCAGAUUAUUGUCAGUAGCUGAGUAAUUACCUUAAUUUGAGCAAAAAGGUCAAUGGGACCAAAUGUUGCUCUAGCCUUGUGGUUCGAGUAUUACACACCCACACAUGUUAUUAUUUGUUCAGUGUUCUUUUUCACCUUUUUUUUUUUUUUUUUUUCCUGUUGUGCUUUUUUACUUUCUUCCCCCCCUCCCCAAACCAUAAAAAUAAAGACACCAUCUCUGGCUAGAAAUGUGAAUGGAAUAAAUUGUAAGUUCCUGAAAUGCUACAUGUCAAAUUAGCUCGUGUAAAAAUGCUUUCCACUUACAUAGCUUCUAAACACUGCUAGGACAGCCUGCUCUCAU